UUCUAGCCCUGAAGUGGGAAGGGUUACUUGCCUGGGAGCAAGGGGGCCAGCCUCAGCCUGGUAAACUCCCCCCCAGCUGCAGGCCUUGGUAGAGGCCCAGAAAGGUGUCCAUAUGCUUGUCUCCCUGCUGUGUCCCAUAGCAACUCACAGACCAGGGGGAGAGACAUUGCUCUGUCUAUGUUGCGUGCAGGGCUCAGACCAAUAGGUAUGCUCAGAGACCGUCAACUGGAUCCGGCCCCUCAGAUCCAUUUUGUCAUUCAUGACACAGAAAAAUAAUUGUCCCACCUAUUCUGCAACACAUCUGAAUACUGGAAUUCUACAUCCCCCUGCUGGAAGGUUUCUUUGAGAACUCAAAGCAUUUUAUCAUGAUUCCUUUUGCAGAUUGAAAAACAGCACAGGUUACUUUGUAAUGAAUUCAUCCAUUCUCUCAAUCUCAUUACAGUGGAGCCCACAUAAAGAAAUCACUUGAAAAGAAACAGACCAUUUUAAGUUUCAAAAUACACUUGCCAUGCAAAAAAAGCAAAACAUCAGCAGAGAUACUGCAUAAUGAAAUCUUCUUCAAAUAGAUGCCUGGAAAAAAGAAACCAAAAAAAUUUAAAAAUUAGCAAACUUCAGGUUGGACAAAGUAAAAUUGUAAUAGAAACCUGACAGACAAAAAAUCCUGUUUAAAUGUGUACCAAUUAAAACAAGUUUCAGAAAAAAGCUUUUUAAAAUGUCUGUCUACCAAACAAAUAAGAUCUCUGGUUAUUUUUAAAUGUGUUGUUGCAACAAAGAUAAAUUGCAAUUAUUUACUUCAAAACAGAAUGCAAAAGUAUACGUGUGUUUCUGUGCAUCCCCAUGUGUGCAUGUGCAAUUGUUUGAGUGGUAUAUUGAAGAUAUAAAAAUCUG